rnacentral:sRNA from 1 species
AGGCCAAAUAUGUUUUUAUAUCAGAAUAGGCACAGCAUGGAGAGCACCAGGGCCAGCUUCCCUACAAUGCUCCACCAUGGUGCCUCAACACUGGCCUGGAGGGACCAUCUCUAGAAAUGUGAAUGCAUUUGUUGGCCU